CACUCAACAAACACAGAGACCCAAGAAGUGGCUAAAAUAACUUAUUGAUCUUCUGCUCUCCAAUUCAAACCCAAUCCAACAUUGGAGACAAUGGGAAAAGUGUUUGCCACCUCCUACAUUAACAGUGAGCCCCGCUGUCGACAGCUGUGUGUGUGUGUGUGUGUGUGUGUGUGUGUAUGUGUGUGUGUGUGUGUGUG